AGCCACUGACCCAUGCACAUUG
rnacentral:miRNA from 17 species